rnacentral:rRNA from 1 species
GUGCCAGCAGCCGCGGUAAUACGAAGGGGGCUAGCGUUGCUCGGAAUCACUGGGCGUAAAGGGCGCGUAGGCGGCCAUUCAAGUCAGAGGUGAAAGCCCAAGGCUCAACCUUGGAAUUGCCUUUGAUACUGUUUGGCUUGAGACCGGAAGAGGUUAGUGGAACUGCGAGUGUAGAGGUGAAAUUCGUAGAUAUUCGCAAGAACACCAGUGGCGAAGGCGGCUAACUGGUCCGGUUCUGACGCUGAGGCGCGAAAGCGUGGGGAGCAAACAGGAUUAGAUACCCCCGUAGUCC